CUAAGUUUGAUGGCGACCGGCGCACGGGUGAGUAANACGUAUCCAACCUGCCGAUGACUCGGGGAUAGCCUUUCGAAAGAAAGAUUAAUACCCGAUGGCAUAGUUCUUCCGCAUGGUGGAACUAUUAAAGAAUUUCGGUCAUCGAUGGGGAUGCGUUCCAUUAGGUUGUUGGCGGGGUAACGGCCCACCAAGCCUUCGAUGGAUAGGGGUUCUGAGAGGAAGGUCCCCCACAUUGGAACUGAGACACGGUCCAAACUCCUACGGGAGGCAGCAUG
rnacentral:rRNA from 1 species